rnacentral:lncRNA from 1 species
CACUCUUCAAUUUCAAUUCCAUUCUCCACUCUCUAAUGCUUGAUCUGGUAGCCCUUUUUUUCUUUUAAUAUCUGGUGUCAUUUUGCAUAAAAAUUUUGAGUGUGAAUUUUGGGUGACCUUAAGGAGAAAGUUAUUAAUUUUGGCCUCUCCUUACUUAUUUAAUUGUUUGGGAUUAUGUGUUUAACAAUCUGAAUAAUUUUCUUUUUUUAUUAAUUGAAUGGUUGUUGCUGGUUAGGGUUGAAGCAAGUGGCAUCUAUGGAAUGCAAAAAUAUUUUGAGAAGUGAUUUCCAUGGGCACUUGGGAGCUUAAGAUUUCAAGACGGUAAGUUUUUUUCUAUUUUUUGUCAUAUUCAUGCUCUGUUAUUUUAAUAUUUAAUUUGAACCGCUUUGGAUUCUAUAUAUUUAUAGAAUGCUCUGUAUUGUUCUGUUCUAUUUAUAAAAUGUAGUAUUGAAAACAAAAAGAAAAAAAUUCUUGUCUUUAGUGUUCUAUUUGUGAUACAAGAUGCUGCCAGAAGCUCAUCGAUGUUCUGUUAAAGGUGGAAGCUUACAUAGUGAUGGAUAAUUUAGGAAUGAUGCCGGUGUCUACUAUAUCUUCUAUAACUUUGCUUAUUGAAUUGGAUGUUAAGGAUAUGGGUGUGCUUUAGGAGUAUCCAUGAGAUGAGAAGUAAAACUGUGUGAGAUCAAGAUCGAGUUUAGUAAUUAAAGCCAAGCUCACUCUUCAUCGACUCGCUAAAGAUCUCAUCCUAGAAGGUCAUUUAUGGAAAAAAUCAAUCUCUUUUUACUUUUUAUUUUUAAUAUUUUUUCUUUUUCUUUUUUAAUUGGAAUUUCAUUUUUUUUUUCUGCUUGAUGAAAUGUAUAAAUAAGAUAAUAUGUUUUAACAUAGACAUAUUUUGUUUGUUUCCUGUAAGAUGUUAUAACUAUAAAUUCUGUUUUUUUUUUAUUUGUAUUAAGUCCAUAUCAACAUUCUAUUAAGGAAAAAAGAAAAGAAAAACACAGUAGAUUAGUAGAUGUUAUGAUGUGUAUUGUGAGGAGAGUUUUGAUGUAAUUCAUUAAUUUUGGAACCAUUUAUAGCUCUAACAUGUGCAAGAUGGAUCAGCAUUCCAUGUACUAGUCAACACAUCUUUGGCAUGCUAACUGAUCUUUUUGAUAAAGUUUUUGCUUUAUUUCUCCCUUUGUAUGUUCUUUGGUGAUGAAUAUUUUAUAUGAUGUGUAUCAUGCAAAUAUGUUUACUUGAUAAUCUUUUUGAAAUUUGGUGCUGGUAAUCAAAAGUCCAGAAAAAGUUGGAUCACUCAAUUUAUAUUUUUUUUAAAUUUCCUUACUAGAGUAUAUUCAUGCAUAAUUUUAAUUACUCUAUGUAUAAAUGGCAGUUGGUAUUUUAUUGUCAUGAAAUGUGUUCUUUUUCUUUUCAGGGCCAUUUGGCAUCUUGCAACUAAGGUGAUAAAUGAUCUUGUAAGUGGUAGCUAUUACAAUUCAGCUGCGAAGGCUCCCAAUUUUUUCUUUUUUUUAUUCUUUUCUCUUGCAGUAAGGAUUAUUUUCUUUACUGCACCUAAGAUGUUGUUUAUGUUUCCUUUUCUUCGGGAUAAAAGGGCACUUAGCUUUCCCAAUUUUUCAUUAUGUUUCCUUUUGUCUUGAGUUUCUGUAGUCUGUAAUUCGACAUUUGGAAGGAUUUUGAUCUGCUUGUUACAGUGUUCUUUAAUCACAGUAGUAAAUAAAAAUAUGACAUGAAGCAGUAAUUUGUAGUAUGAAUGGAAAUGGUAUAAAAAUAGAUAUUGAACUCUUCUUAUUUUAAUUUGUAUAUCACUGUGUCUUAUUACUCUAGGG